GUGGAAAUCAGCAACAGAAGGCAAAGAUUGAAAAAGUGGGGGAAGCAUGCACAGAAAAGACAAGAUAGGUAAAUGAAUAACAUGUGACAAAGAUGGUACUGAAGCCGACGUUAUUAGAGCUUCAAGAAGCAGACUGUCAUAAUGUGUUUUAUCAAGUGUGCUAUUUCAUAAAACAAAAAAAAUUCAGUCUCAUGCAACAAUUUAUUUUGGAUCUCAAAAGUUAGAGCA
rnacentral:misc_RNA from 1 species